GGAUUCAGAUUUCCAAAGCCUUCUCUUUAUAUAGGGUGUUUUGAAGUUUCAAGGAAUUUCAAGAAUUUCUGGCAUUGCUUACACCCAAGAUACCAUUAGAAUAGAAACAAUGCAGUGUGAAAAAACCAACUCUCAGGCAUCCAAGUUCAGAGGGAGCUCAAGGGUCCCAAAGCAAGGCUUGCAAGAGAGGGCAGAACUUAAUAACUAAGAAUAAGUAUAAAUGUGAAAGGGGUUUGGGAAGCCAUAACAGGUGGUGGCCAUGCCCAGCCACAAAACAGGCUGGCACACCUCUGACAAACCUAUUUGGUCAAACAAAUAAGAGCAGACCUAUUGAAGGUCUAAUCAGGGUAUGGACAGUGAUUAGUACACUGCCACACCAAGGUCUAAGGCUAAAGCACACAUAAGCGGAAAGGGAGUGGGAAUUAUUGAGUUUGGGAUUCAAAGAAUCCAGUCGAGCCACAUGAACAACAAUGUUUAAGCAUUGUCAUGCAUUAUGAACCAUAACUCACAUACAAAGAGGGGUUGAAGGAGAGGGAAUUCAGUCAAUAGUAAAAACAACAAAUAUGAAGAAGCAGUAAAGUAAACACACGAAAGAACUGAAAUGUAAGCACGUAGGGAAGAUGCAAUAUUAAACAGAAGGGACAUACUAGUUGCAAAAAUAAACACAAAAAGAAGCAGAACACUUGUAGCCGCGGACAAACAAAAAAAUCAAC
rnacentral:lncRNA from 1 species